rnacentral:rRNA from 1 species
UACGUCAACAUCCUUAACGAAUUUGCUCACACUCUAGCCUGUUCGAAGGCGGUCCCUAACGACGUCAGCAAGCUGUCGCCGCCAGGGUGCCAACGAGAGGCCAGAUGGAACAGCCCUAAAGGUAUUCGUUGCAAUCCUCAAUCCCAAACACCACAUUCCGCCAAAGGUUAUAACACUCCCGAAGGAGCCACAUCCCUCCAGCCUUUUUAUGAUGUGAGAAAUUGACGUUAACCAGCCGACACAAAAGUGCACCAGACCGUUAAGUGGUCGCGAGCCGCGGCGGUUUUGAGGCUCGCCACGGCAGUGAUCGCUCAGCGGGCGGGUUGAUUUCGCGCCAGCACGACUGACUUCAAGCGUUUCCCUUUCAACAAUUUCACGUACUAUUUAACUCUCUUUUCAAAGUUCUUUUCAUCUUUCCCUCACGGUACUUGUUCGCUAUCGGUCUCUCGCCAAUAUUUAGCCUUAGGAGAAAUUUACCUCCCAUUUUGAGCUGCAAUCCCAAACAACUUGACUCUUUGAAAGCGUAUCGUAAAGCGAAUCUGAUCAACCGAACGGGAUUCUCACCCUCCGUGAUGCCUUAUCCCAAAGGACUUGGACUGAUCAGAAACACAGAAGACGCCUCUUCAAAUUACAACUCGGUCAGGUAGAACCCGACAGAUUUAAAAUUUGAGCUUGUCCCUCUUCACUCGCAGUUACUAGGGGAAUCAUUGUUAUUUUCUUUUCCUCCGCUUAUUGAUAUCG